rnacentral:lncRNA from 1 species
GCUAGAUAACCGAAAGUAAAAACUCCUUCAAGAUCGCCGAGGAGCGUUCCGGAAAGAAAGACUGCAACCAAGAGACAGUAUAAACCAGAAAGGAUGGUGCUGGGGCAGAUGGGGUGAGAGUGACUUUCAAGCUCACUUAAAUAUGUGAGUUCUUGUAUGACUGACAAACUCUUGAUGUCCUGAGUGCAAAAUAUCUAGCUAUUAAAAAUGUUGACUUGGAAAAUAUGCCUUCGGGAAAAUGACACCAGAUAGUAUUAAAUAAUAGCAAAAGGAGAGAGAUGACCAGGGAAAACAAUCCAGAUAUUUGCUGAAGAUAAGUACAGAUCUCUAUUUUUCUGUUAUAAUUUGAUUUAAAAGAUUUAAGAUUAUGUUAGAUUUUACAUUAGAAUAUAGAUUGCUCUGAGGGAGGUUUCUUCCAUUAUACAAUUACCAUUUUCACUGUUUUUUUUUUUUUUUUAUUAAAACACAGUUAAAGUAAAUAUUACAUGACACCAUGACUCAGUAUUUCACCCUUUGGUAAAAUAUAUAAGUCUUACAAAUAAUUUACCCAAACUCUAGACUUUUAGAAGCGUGGACUGUGCUUGUGCUAGCCUCUCCCAGUUAUUGUCUAAUGUGGAAGGAGUUGUGCUUGAUGGCUGCAGCCUGUAAUUAGUGAGAUCAGUAAUCAAGACAGCUGUGAUGUAUUUUCCUACAAGAACUAAAAGAGUGAGGACAUCUGUCUCAGAUGAAUGAAAUGGUCAAAUAUAAAUGAACCUAAAUUUGCUGUGUUGUGUGCUUCUUUUCAGGGAGACAAGAGAGUACAUGUCCCUCAUGAGAAUAUUUCUUCAGCAUCAAAAAUGAG